rnacentral:rRNA from 1 species
GAUGAACGCCAGCGGCAGGCUUAACACAUGCAAGUCGAGGGGUAGAGGAAGCUUGCUUCCUUGAGACCGGCGCACGGGUGCGUAACGCGUAUGCAAUCUACCUUCAACAGGGGGAUAGCCCAGAGAAAUUUGGAUUAAUACCCCAUAGUAUUUUUGCCUGGCAUCAGGUGAUUAUUAAAGUUCCAACGGUUGAAGAUGAGCAUGCGUCCCAUUAGCUAGAUGGUAAGGUAACGGCUUACCAUGGCUCCGGUGGGUAGGGGUCCUGAGAGGGAGAUCCCCCACACUGGUACUGAGACACGGACCAGACUCCUACGGGAGGCAGCAGUGAGGAAUAUUGGUCAAUGGGCGCAAGCCUGAACCAGCCAUGCCGCGUGCAGGAUGAAGCAUCUAUGGUGUGUAAACUGCUUUUGUACGGGAAGAAACACCGGUUCGUGAACCGGCUUGACGGUACCGUAAGAAUAAGGAUCGGCUAACUCCGUGCCAGCCGCCGCAGUAAAAC